rnacentral:rRNA from 1 species
GAUGAACGCUGGCGGCGUGCCUAAUACAUGCAAGUCGAGCGAACGGACGAGAAGCUUGCUUCUCUGAUGUUAGCGGCGGACGGGUGAGUAACACGUGGAUAACCUACCUAUAAGACUGGGAUAACUUCGGGAAACCGGAGCUAAUACCGGAUGAUAUUUUGAACGGCAUGGUUCAAAAGUGAAAGACGGUCUUGCUGUCACUUAUAGAUGGAUCCGCGCUGCAUUAGCUAGUUGGUAAGGUAACGGCUUACCAAGGCAACGAUGCAUAGCCGACCUGAGAGGGGGAUCGGCCACACUGGAACUGAGACACGGUCCAGACUCCUACGGGAGGCAGCAGUAGGGAAUCUUACGCAGUGGGCGAAAGCCUGACGGAGCAACGGCGAGUGAGUGAUGAAGGUCUUCGGAUCGUAAAGCUCUGUUAUUAGGGAAGAACAGAUGUGUAAGUAACUGUGCACAUCUUGACGGUACCUAAUCAGAAAGCAACGGCUAACUACGUG